rnacentral:lncRNA from 1 species
UUGGGAUAGUGCAACCUGAAACAACUCCUAUAGAGGCUUCUCCUCCCUUAUUUACUUUUGCCUUUGUGAUCAAGGAGUUAUUUAUGUAGGUUGAAACAACUCUUGUCCACGAAUAGCUUGAAAGUGUGUCUAGAUUCACAUAGUGCUCAACAAUUUUCUAGUGCAAAGUGGAUGAAGAGUUGGCAAAGAGUAAUGUCAUGCAGAGCAGAAUCAAGAUUAGGCUGACCACAUCCUUGUCGUAGUCAACAACCUCCUUUUCCU